UGGCUUAGUGGUAGCGUUUGCCUUGCAUGCAAGAGGCCCUAGGUUUGAUUCCUGG
rnacentral:tRNA from 1 species